AGGUUAAGCGACUAAGCGUACACGGUGGAUGCCCUGGCAGUCAGAGGCGAUGAAGGACGUGCUAAUCUGCGAUAAGCGCCGGUAAGGUGAUAUGAACCGUUAUAACCGGCGAUUUCCGAAUGGGGAAACCCAGUGUGAUUCGUCACACUAUCAUUAACUGAAUCCAUAGGUUAAUGAGGCGAACCGGGGGAACUGAAACAUCUAAGUACCCCGAGGAAAAGAAAUCAACCGAGAUUCCCCCAGUAGCGGCGAGCGAACGGGGAGGAGCCCAGAGCCUGAAUCAGCAUGUGUGUUAGUGGAAGCGUCUGGAAAGGCGCGCGAUACAGGGUGACAGCCCCGUACACAAAAGCGCAUGUGCUGUGAGCUCGAUGAGUAGGGCGGGACACGUGGUAUCCUGUCUGAAUAUGGGGGGACCAUCCUCCAAGGCUAAAUACUCCUGACUGACCGAUAGUGAACCAGUACCGUGAGGGAAAGGCGAAAAGAACCCCGGCGAGGGGAGUGAAAAAGAACCUGAAACCGUGUACGUACAAGCAGUGGGAGCCCCACCACCAAAGCAUUUGCUGUACCAUGUUGACGGAGCGAAGCGACGUCAAACCGAUAAAACAGCAGUGUAAAGUGAGCCGCAGGGCGCUUUGCGCGACAGCGCAAAGGCAGGCGGUUUCGCGUAGCGAAAGCGAAUGCUUUGGGGUGGGGUGACUGCGUACCUUUUGUAUAAUGGGUCAGCGACUUAUAUUCUGUAGCAAGGUUAACCGAAUAGGGGAGCCGGAGGGAAACCGAGUCUUAACCGGGCGUUAAGUUGCAGGGUAUAGACCCGAAACCCGGUGAUCUAGCCAUGGGCAGGUUGAAGGUUGGGUAACACUAACUGGAGGACCGAACCGACUAAUGUUGAAAAAUUAGCGGAUGACCUGUGGCUGGGGGUGAAAGGCCAAUCAAACCGGGAGAUAGCUGGUUCUCCCCGAAAGCUAUUUAGGUAGCGCCUCGUGAAUUCAUCUCCGGGGGUAGAGCACUGUUUCGGCUAGGGGGCCAUCCCGGCUUACCAACCCGAUGCAAACUGCGAAUACCGGAGAAUGUUAUCACGGGAGACACACGGCGGGUGCUAACGUCCGUCGUGAAGAGGGAAACAACCCAGACCGCCAGCUAAGGUCCCAAAGUCAUGGUUAAGUGGGAAACGAUGUGGGAAGGCCCAGACAGCCAGGAUGUUGGCUUAGAAGCAGCCAUCAUUUAAAGAAAGCGUAAUAGCUCACUGGUCGAGUCGGCCUGCGCGGAAGAUGUAACGGGGCUAAACCAUGCACCGAAGCUGCGGCAGCGAACGUAUCACUUAAAGCGAUUCAGCGGGUUACGAUUGACGGAGCGAAGCGACGUCAAAGCGUAUACAAAGUCGAGUCGGUUUAAGGAUACGUUCGUUGGGUAGGGGAGCGUUCUGUAAGCCUGUGAAGGUGGCCUGUGAGGGUUGCUGGAGGUAUCAGAAGUGCGAAUGCUGACAUAAGUAACGAUAAAGCGGGUGAAAAGCCCGCUCGCCGGAAGACCAAGGGUUCCUGUCCAACGUUAAUCGGGGCAGGGUGAGUCGACCCCUAAGGCGAGGCCGAAAGGCGUAGUCGAUGGGAAACGGGUUAAUAUUCCCGUACUUGGUGUUACUGCGAAGGGGGGACGGAGAAGGCUAUGUUGGCCGGGCGACGGUUGUCCCGGUUUAAGCGUGUAGGUGUGUGUUCCAGGUAAAUCCGGUUCACUUUAACACUGAGGCGUGAUGACGAGGCACUACGGUGCUGAAGCAACAAAUGCCCUGCUUCCAGGAAAAGCCUCUAAGCAUCAGGUAACAUCAAAUCGUACCCCAAACCGACACAGGUGGUCAGGUAGAGAAUACCAAGGCGCUUGAGAGAACUCGGGUGAAGGAACUAGGCAAAAUGGUGCCGUAACUUCGGGAGAAGGCACGCUGACACGUAGGUGAAGUGAUUUACUCACGGAGCUGAAGUCAGUCGAAGAUACCAGCUGGCUGCAACUGUUUAUUAAAAACACAGCACUGUGCAAACACGAAAGUGGACGUAUACGGUGUGACGCCUGCCCGGUGCCGGAAGGUUAAUUGAUGGGGUCAGCGCAAGCGAAGCUCCUGAUCGAAGCCCCGGUAAACGGCGGCCGUAACUAUAACGGUCCUAAGGUAGCGAAAUUCCUUGUCGGGUAAGUUCCGACCUGCACGAAUGGCGUAAUGAUGGCCAGGCUGUCUCCACCCGAGACUCAGUGAAAUUGAACUCGCUGUGAAGAUGCAGUGUACCCGCGGCAAGACGGAAAGACCCCGUGAACCUUUACUAUAGCUUGACACUGAACAUUGAGCCUUGAUGUGUAGGAUAGGUGGGAGGCUUUGAAGCGUGGACGCCAGUCUGCGUGGAGCCAACCUUGAAAUACCACCCUUUAAUGUUUGAUGUUCUAACGUGGACCCGUGAUCCGGGUUGCGGACAGUGUCUGGUGGGUAGUUUGACUGGGGCGGUCUCCUCCUAAAGAGUAACGGAGGAGCACGAAGGUUGGCUAAUCCUGGUCGGACAUCAGGAGGUUAGUGCAAUGGCAUAAGCCAGCUUGACUGCGAGCGUGACGGCGCGAGCAGGUGCGAAAGCAGGUCAUAGUGAUCCGGUGGUUCUGAAUGGAAGGGCCAUCGCUCAACGGAUAAAAGGUACUCCGGGGAUAACAGGCUGAUACCGCCCAAGAGUUCAUAUCGACGGCGGUGUUUGGCACCUCGAUGUCGGCUCAUCACAUCCUGGGGCUGAAGUAGGUCCCAAGGGUAUGGCUGUUCGCCAUUUAAAGUGGUACGCGAGCUGGGUUUAGAACGUCGUGAGACAGUUCGGUCCCUAUCUGCCGUGGGCGCUGGAGAACUGAGGGGGGCUGCUCCUAGUACGAGAGGACCGGAGUGGACGCAUCACUGGUGUUCGGGUUGUCAUGCCAAUGGCACUGCCCGGUAGCUAAAUGCGGAAGAGAUAAGUGCUGAAAGCAUCUAAGCACGAAACUUGCCCCGAGAUGAGUUCUCCCUGAGACUUAGAGUCUCCUGAAGGAACGUUGAAGACGACGACGUUGAUAGGCCGGGUGUGUAAGCGCAGCGAUGCGUUGAGCUAACCGGUACUAAUGAACCGUGAGGCUUAACCUUACAACGCCGA
rnacentral:rRNA from 1 species